rnacentral:lncRNA from 1 species
AUAUGAAGCUUUGGUUCCAGACCAGCAGGUGCCUGGGGCUUCUCUCUUCCCUGCUGUCAGUGAGACAGAGGCUGCUGCACUCGGGAGGGACAUGCUGAGCAGAACAGGCCCACACCCACUCAGCUCCUGAUGGAGCAGGAGCAUAGAGGACUCUGGAGGAAAUGACCCUCACACAGUGCCCCAGAAGCCACAGGGUAAGAGAUGAGGGACAGGGACGCUGGAUUCAUUUGGAAACUCUGUGUGGAGAAGCAGUGCCGGAGGACUUCCAGAGACAAUGGGAACCUCAGUGUGGAGCAGGAGCUCCCAAGAGGAACGGCACUCGACAAGGAACAGGCAGCCAGAGAACUGGUUGCUGAGAGCUCAGUCCUUGUCCCUGGUGCCAACCCAUUACAAGGACUUGGUUUUGAGACAAAGGAAAAAGAAAGUUUAUAAAGCUAGCAAAGGAGAAACUCAGGGGACUCCUGUCCAUCAGCAGGAACGGAGCGGGGGUGGCUUUAUAGAGGUGAUUCAGAGAAAAUGAGAUCAGGGAGGAGAGAUCAGGAAGGGGAAGAUCUGGGAAAAGAAGAUCUGGGGGCUGAGGC